rnacentral:rRNA from 1 species
UACAGAGGUCUCAAGCGUUGUUCGGAUUCAUUGGGCGUAAAGGGUGUGUAGGUGGCGCCGUAAGUCGGGUGUGAAAUUCCUGGGCUCAACCUGGGGGCUGCGUUUGAUACGUGUUGUCUGGAGUUCGGAAGAGGGUCGUGGAAUUCCCAGUGUAGAGGUGAAAUUCGUAGAUAUUGGGAAGAACACCGGUGGCGAAGGCGGCGACCUGGUCCGAUACUGACGCUGAGGCGCGAAAGCGUGGGGAGCAAACAGG